CUCUGGAGCUCCUUGGAGCCACCACCCACGCUCCGGUGACCGGCCCUUCCUCUGUGCUCUCGCUCGCCGGUGUGGGUGCCCAGGCUGCAGGUCACCCGAGGAGCCCAAGAGACUGAACCCCCAUCAGGAGGGAGCCCUGGCGAGAGUGAAGCCCGGCCUGCACCCGGGUGGCCGCGAUCCGUGUUCCGAGCUGCACACAGGGGCGUCUGGUGGCCGCCUGGGGACGGGGCGCCCGGGAACCCCAGCGGGUCGCUGCGUUGGUGGGAGACUGCUCUGCACCCCAGCAGAGAAGAGCAGCGCGUGCCUGCCGGGCGGGCUGCCGCAUCCAGGGCACUCUGGCCCAGCUCCGUGCCCACGGGAUGCUGAGACUCCAGGGAGAACAGAGGAGGAAGAGCUGAGGCUCGAGAAGGAAUUUGGGGCCACGACUCUGCCGCUUGCAGCUCAGACCAGGCUGUAUAGGUGAUUGAAACAGGAAUAGAACCACAUCCUGCCCUUCAGAAUUUUCCGAGAUAUGUGCAGUUGCAACAGUUUUCCUACUAGAAGCCACAGAUUCUAUAAGUCCAAUCAACAUAAACAAUACACUGUGCAGAAGAUUCAGUGAACUCAAUUAUUUCUUUGCACCUGAAGGCACUACGUCAUGAGGCCCAAAUGCUUGGGGAGAGAUUGGCACAUGAGAUAAUCAAGAAAGGCCACAUGUCAUCAUAAGGAAUUGCGACGCACAACACAACAGGAUCUGUUUUUAUUCCCCUUGAUCGGGAUGACAGCAGGAGAAAUCAAUUAGCCAAGUAUUCAUAAAUAAUGCCUUUAAAUGAAGUCCUGAAUUUUGCUCAGAAACUCCAAUGAUAACGAGCUCAAAGCUUCACCAAUAACUCAGUCGAAACAUCCUGUUGAUCC